CCCGCCCAAAAUUAUCUGUCUAGUGAGAGACAGUUUAGAUAUUUUUAAAAGGGUGAGUCGGGGCGGAUCAGUGAAUCGAGUCCAGAAAAGCUUUAAAAUAAAAACGCAACAAGUUCGAGCAAAGAGGUAGAUCCCCCCAACGCAGGCGCAAGAUCCACCAGGAAAUACAAAACAAAUAGAAGCAAAGGAGACAGCAAGAUUAGUUUUCACCGGAGGGUCAGCCGGUGGCUGGAGCGGUCCAAGCUACGGCUUCGAGAAUUGUGGAAGUUCUGGCACCGGGACAGGUGAAAGCAAGGCGGACGGUGAAUUUAGCACCUACAAAAGGUGCAAAGCAAGCCAGAAAGUAGCGAAGAUACUACCAUAUAUUUACAACACACACAAAAAAAAAUUAAACUUUCAGGUAUUUGGCGUUUCCACCCUGAACUUCCAUGAUUGAUAUUUAGUUCUUUUAGCUGACGGACACCGUGAGGCGGGUUUUUAAAUGUUGCCUACACCCUUUCAGUAUCUCAACUCAAUGUACAAGUAGGGGACAGUAGAAUGAACCUAUAAAAGCAGAGUAUCUGGGUUGUGAACUUUAUCUAACCUUCGAUUUCUUUCAGGUUUAUUAAUCGCUUCUUUUCAGCAGAGGGCAAAGUCUUCUCUCGAGUCGAUUGGGAGAAAACCAAAGACUGCAAACUCCUCUCGGGCGUAAAGCUAAGUUGUAUCUAUUUGGCCCUCUAGCGCCUGAUCUUCAGUUUCACCGUGAUCACUGAAACUCAUUCCUUAACAACACGGAGUGUAGCUAUACCAAAUAAACUGCUCCAGUGGUUCAAAAAGCUGCCAAACCACCAACCAUCACAAGGGCAAUAAAUGUUCAGCCAAUGACACUGACCUAUAUUAGCAGCUGUACCCAAUUCUCGAAUUUAUAUGUAAGCGAUCCAAUCGUGGCCAAAUCUUUUCUAUUAUCGUCUCAGGAUUCUAUGCUCUUCUAACUGGGACCUGAUUUGCAGUUCCACAAACUCUUUCUCUCUCUCUCUCUCUCUGCCUCACUUUGGCCUGUUCCUCCUAACUCUUUGGAAUUCUUGCUAUAAAUAUCUUCCUCUCCUUUAAUAUCCUCCUCAAAACUCAGGGUCCAGGUGUCAUUUUCUUUAGCUUGUCAGCUUAGUGUCUCUGAAUGCUUUUUUUGCACUGUAGGUGCCAUAUAAUUGCAAACAUGAUUCAGCUGGUUCCAUGCAGAGAGCCAAGCACAAAAACCCACUACAGUACUAAGGGAGGACUACACUGUCCUUCAAGUGAUGUUAAGCCGAGACCCAGGCUACUUUCUCACCUGAACACAGCCGAUCCCUUGGGACAAUUUGUAGAACAGAGAGCGGGUGGUUUUUCCAGUGUCCUGGCCAAUACCUAUGCCUCAGUCAAAAAUGACUAAAACAGACUAUUUUGUUGUUCAUUACAUUGCUGUUAACAGGAGCUUGCUUUGUACAAAUUGAUUUCCACACCUGCUGCCUCACAAGAGUAACUGCUCUUCAAACAAGCACUUCAUUGGUUGUAAAACACUCUGGGACAUCCUGAUGUUGUGAAAAGUGCAUGAUAGUGUGACAAUACAAUGCCUGGGUUUCAGAAGUUGAUAUGAAUGGAAAUAAUGACUGAAAUGUUUCACAAGUUGUUACACACUUGGUCGUGAGGGAAUUCCAACAAUGCAAUUAUAACCUCAUUUUAAAGUUACAGCUAACAUUUCCUUUGGAAACCUUGAAGUCAUCACAUCUUAUCCUUAUCUUGAGAAUAUAUUAAAAGUGUUGUAUCAAACAUGUGGAAUAUUGCGUACAGUUUUGGACCCUUUGCUUGAAGAGAGAUGGUUUUGCAUUGAGUGCAGUUCAAAGAAUAUUCACUGGAUUGGUUCUGAAGAUGAGGAUUUUUCUUAUGAAAAGAGGUUGAGCAGUUUAGGCCUAUUCACUCUGGAAUUCAGAAGAAUGAGAGAUCUAGUUAUGGUAUAUAGAUGCUAAAGGGGGUUGACAAACUAGACAUAGAGAGAAUGUUUCCUCUUGUUGGCAAUCUAGAAUGCGAGGUCAUAGUUUUAGGAUAAUGGGUAGCAGAUUUAAAACAGAGAUGAAAAGUAAUUUCUUCUCUCAAAGGAUUGUGAAUCUGUGAAAUUCACUACCCAAGAAUGCAGUAGAUGCUGGGAUAUUGAAUACAUUUAAGGAGGAGAUAGACAGAUAGACUUUUAAUUAGUGAUGGUUGAAGGGUUAUGGAGAGUGAACAUGAAAGUGAGUUGAGGCCAAGAUGAGAUCAGCCUUGACUGUAUCAAAGAGUGGAGCAGACUCAAGGGGAUGAAUUGCCGACUUCUACUCCUAGUUGUUAUAAACAUAUGUUUGUCAAACUUGUUAACUGUUUUUCUCACACAUAGGUGAUAACUAGAAGAAAUGCUUUUGAAACUGAGUGCACUCAUGCUGAGAGACGCCAUUAAAUGAGGAACAUCCAUAUCUUGCAGGACCUCAAUACUCAGGGAACCUGUUUCAGAGAUAGUAGGAACUGCAGAUGCUGGAGAUUCUGAGAUAACAAGGUGUAGAGCUGGAUGAACACAGCAGGCCAAGCAGCAUCAGAGGAGCAGGAAGGCUGACGUUUCGGGUCUAGACCCUUCUUCAGAAAUGAAGAAGAAGACUCAGAGAACUUGUUUCCCUUUCAACACAUUAUUACCGUUUGAAGCCAGUUCCAAGGCAUUACUGUAAAUAAAAUCUAAAAUACAUUGUCAA